UACGAAGGGGGCUAGCGUUGCUCGGAAUCGCUGGGCGUAAAGGGUGCGUAGGCGGGUCUUUAAGUCAGGGGUGAAAUCCUGGAGCUCAACUCCAGAACUGCCUUUGAUACUGAGGAUCUUGAGUUCGGGAGAGGUGAGUGGAACUGCGAGUGUAGAGGUGAAAUUCGUAGAUAUUCGCAAGAACACCAGUGGCGAAGGCGGCUCACUGGCCCGAUACUGACGCUGAGGCACGAAAGCGUGGGGAGCAACAGG
rnacentral:rRNA from 1 species